ensembl:lncRNA
CCCCAGAGGACCCCGUGUCUUGUAGCCGCGGCGUUGCCGCGCCAACGGGCUGUCCUGAUCGACAGCGAGGCUCAGAGCAGCGUCUCAGGAGGUCAGGGGGCGGCGGCAUCAGCUGACCCCUCCCCGGCCCAGUCCUCCUCCCCGGGGGGGUGCCAGCCUACAGGAGGUCCUCUGCGCUCCAGCUGAAGGUGGCCGGCGUGUGUGCGUCCGAGCGGCGUGUCGCCAUGGCGACUGUCCUCGAGGAUGCGCUGGUCUCCGCCCACAACGACCUCGGCGCCGUCUGCUUGUCUGACAGGAAGUGCAGCCCUGACUCCGCCCCUCCGCGACCGGAGGCUGACGAUAGGACGAUGGAGCUGCUGGAGAGAUACUCUGACCUUCUGCUGAACAUGACCCUUGGCAAAGUGGAGCAGCAAAGCAUCAUGGGAGUCGUGGACAACCCUGGGUCGCAUUAGCAGCAAAGCAUCAUGGGAAAUGUUGAUUCCCCUUGCUCGCAGCAAAGCAUCAUGGGAGAUGUUGACUCCCCUUGCUCGCAGCAAAGCAUCAUGGGAUAUGUUGACUUCCCUUGCUCGCAGCAAAGCAUCAUGGGAGAUGUCAACGUUCCUCGUCUUCAUGUAAAUGUUUUGUAUAAAGGUUUUAUAUUUAAGUAUUUAAUUAGAGUUUUGUGCAAAUAUCUGAAUUUUCCAAUGUUAUGGAUCAUUUUUAUACUUUUGGGAGAAAUGGAAAACAGGUUUUCAGUUGUCCCCAUAGCAACACGUCCUAUUAUGGGAUGUGCUGUGCGGUCAGCUCUGGACACGCCUCGAAAGUCAGUCAAUAUUAAAGUUUAAAAGUUUCAGCUUUGCUCUGAGUCGUGAAUAAAAGCAGCGU